GUGACAGCAGCCGCGGUAAUACGAAGGGGGCUAGCGUUGCUCGGAAUCACUGGGCGUAAAGCGCACGUAGGCGGAUCUUUAAGUCAGGGGUGAAAUCCCGGAGCUCAACUCCGGAACUGCCUCUGAUACUGGGGGUCUCGAGUCCGGGAGAGGUGAGUGGAACUGCGAGUGUAGAGGUGAAAUUCGUAGAUAUUCGCAAGAACACCAGUGGCGAAGGCGGCUCACUGGCCCGGUACUGACGCUGAGGUGCGAAAGCGUGGGGAGCAAACAGGAUUAGAAACCCCAGUAGUCC
rnacentral:rRNA from 1 species